CAUGACUGGAUGACCUUGAAGAGAUGUGGCAUAGGUCGAGAGACGGACAGUUUUCUAUGUGUUUCUACUUAGCUGAGUAUGACGUCAUAACACGAUAUGAUGAGCCCACCUGUUCCCGAGUAGAUCCCGCUAGGAUGAAAAUGAAGAGAUCAUUCCGCUGCCGUAAUUUAAAUAAUAGAAGAUUACAAUAGAAGACAGCCAAAUGUUUAACCUGUCGUUGGAAAUAAAAGCUCUCUUAAAACCUAUGAGUUGCUAUAAGGAAGAUACAACCCACAUGGAAGAAAGUUUUUCAUUGCAUUGCUGUGUAUUUAAUUAAUACGGCUACUAAAAAGUCUACUGGUGUUGGCAUCAAUUUUUAGUUGGAAGAUUUAUUACAUACUGCUUUAAGAUAACUGUCCUAAAGAUGUAAAAGAUAAAAACAAUCUUUUGGUCACUUCAUAAAGGAUUACAGGCACUUGAUUAAAAAAUAGUAGGGCAUAAAUAGGCAGUUGUCUAUAAAAUAAAGUCCAAAGUCCAAUAUAAAGUCCAAUAAAGUCCAAAAUAAAGACUACUGAAGAUAACAAUAUUUUACAGCCCAAUAUAGUUUGUAUAGUACUUUCUAUGUUUGAUUCUGUGCAUGCCUCAAGCAUGAUAUAAAGAUAUGUAGCUUUAUAAAUUAACACGUUUUACAUCCAUUUAUGACUUGUGGAAAUUAUAUUUUUGAAUUAAAAGUAAUAUAAUAAAGCAACAUGUAUUUGCUAACGUUUUUCUUGUAGGAAUACAAUUUUGUAAGUAAAAAAUUUUUUUUUUGUCAGCUUUCAUUUACAUGAUAUUUAUUCCUUAUUAAACAAUAAAAAAUAUUGUUAUAUUUUUCUACUUUCUGCGACCAAUAUUAUCUUUAAAACACAAAAACGUUAUUUCAACUAAAAAUGUAUAGCUUAACCUUAACCUACAACUUUUAACCAAAAGUGCUAGUGGAUAUUAUUUAAAUAAUAAAUCCCACUAAAUA